GCCCCAAACACAUCAACACAAAGCCACGGAGUUUAGCAUAUCCACAGCUCUAGAGCAGAAGCUGUCUCUAAGCCUUCUUUUGUCCCUAGUUUUGAUAGACCCAGACAGUCUCCGCCGGAUGGUAAGAGUUCAAAAAGAGUGUGAGUGUGCUGGAUGAGCCAGACUUGGUCUCUCAGAAUAUUUGGGGCUUUCUUUAGCCUUUCUGAAUUGUAGAGUUCUUCCAAGGAGGGGAGAGGGCAAUGCCGAUAAUCCUUCUGAGCAGUAGGUGAUCUCACCCCUGUUGGAGGCGCCUUCC